UACAGAGGUCCCAAGCGUUGUUCGGAUUCACUGGGCGUAAAGGGUGCGUAGGUGGUGGGGUAAGUCGGAUGUGAAAGCUCGGAGCUCAACUCCGAAAUGGCAUUGGAAACUACCCUGCUAGAGGAUUGGAGGGGGGACUGGAAUACUUGGUGUAGCAGUGAAAUGCGUAGAUAUCAAGUGGAACACCAGUGGCGAAGGCGAGUCCCUGGACAAUUCCUGACACUGAGGCACGAAAGCUAGGGGAGCAAACGGG
rnacentral:rRNA from 1 species